rnacentral:rRNA from 1 species
CUUGGUCAUUUAGAGGAAGUAAAAGUCGUAACAAGGUCUCCGUAGGUGAACCUGCGGAAGGAUCAUUAGUGAAUUAAACAUGCUUGGUGUCUUCGCUUCGGCAAGGCCCUUGCUUAAAUCACAUCCUAACACCUGUGAACUGUAAGACGUAUGAUGAGGUCUUUGGCCUAGUCAUCGUCUGCCCUUUUUUAACAAACAAUUAAUGUAACAAACGUAGUCUUAUUAUAACCUAAUAAAACUUUCAACAACGGAUCUCUUGGCUCUCGCAUCGAUGAAGAACGCAGCGAAAUGCGAUAAGUAAUGUGAAUUGCAGAAUUCAGUGAAUCAUCGAAUCUUUGAACGCACCUUGCGCUCUUUGGUAUUCCGAAGAGCAUGCCUGUUUGAGUGUCAUGAAAAUAUCAACCUUGACUUGGGUUUUGUGCUCUAGUCUUGGCUUGGAAUUGGGUGCUUGCCGCUUUUACGAGCGGCUCACCUUAAAUGUAUUAGCUGGAUCUGUCUUUGAGACUUGGUUUGACUUGGCGUAAUAAGUAUUUCGCUAAGGACAUUCUUCGGAGUGGCCUCGUUUCUAGGACGCUUGUCCGCUUCCCAAUACAAGUUCCACCUCGUGGACAUGACUUUUUUAUUAUCUGGCCUCAAAUCAGGUAGGACUACCCGCUGAACUUAAGCAUAUCAAUAAGCGGAGGA